rnacentral:tRNA from 1 species
GGAAGAGAAACAUCCCCGGCGGGGUGCCCGGACUUCAAACCCGGAGGAAGGUGCCAUGCAUCUUCGGUAGGUUCGACUCCUGCCUCUUCCGCCA